rnacentral:misc_RNA from 1 species
GUCAUAAACAGUGAUUUGGCAGAAGCAGAACUGCAACUUUAACUAGUACUCAUAAUUGGCCAGAGCAACAACUUUGAAAUGAGAUAGUCUCGACUGCAGGAAGUAAAUUCAACUUCCACUAAGCCAUUACUUUUAUACUCAAUACAACGUGUUAUGAAGCAAUUAAGAAACAAAUUCUAAAUCCCAUCCCCUUCUUAAAGAUGAAAAAGGAAGGACAAAAGAGAAAAGUUAUUUGCUCCUAAGUUACUGGUAAUAGCAUUGAUGUUUUGCAAAAAAAUUAUGGCCAUUAUUUUAUUUGGUAUAAAUCCCAUUUCAGGAAAUCUUAAGCAUGACAUGCAUCCUUUCUGAUUAUUUAAGCAAAAUUAGAACCAGGAUCAAGUGAUGGGCAAACCUGUCUUCGAGGCUCAAAGCGUA